UACGAAGGGGGCUAGCGUUGCUCGGAAUCAUUGGGCGUAAAGGGUGCGUAGGCGGCGCCGUAAGUCAGGUGUGAAAUUUCGGAGCUUAACUCCGAAACUGCAUUUGAUACUGCGGUGCUUGAGGACUGGAGAGGAGACUGGAAUUUACGGUGUAGCAGUGAAAUGCGUAGAGAUCGUAAGGAAGACCAGUGGCGAAGGCGGGUCUCUGGACAGUUCCUGACGCUGAGGCACGAAGGCCAGGGGAGCAAACGGG
rnacentral:rRNA from 1 species